UUGUUCAUUUGGCCAUAACUUGGGUUAGGUAGGUCCAAAUGACCUGAAACUUUACCAGUAGAAAGUUGAGACAUAGCCCUACAACUUUUAUAAAGAAUACAAGUCUAAAUUAUGCCCUUAACUAAGUCAUUUAGCCACCUAAAUUUAGUGACCUAAAACUGCCAGAACCAAGUUGGUGCCCAAAAAAUUUGGGUUAGGCCAAUCUGGCCAGCCAUGUUCAAAUGGCUAUAACUUGAGGUACAAAACUCAAAAUGGAGUCAUUCAAAAAGAAAAAUAAAGUUAAGACAAUAAGGAACAAUUUCUAUGAAGAAAACUUAGUCAAAUUCUAACAGCAAUAUGACCAAUGGAACAGUGCAAAACAGGACACUAAAACUGAAAAUUUGUAAUUUUACCUAAAAGACUUAAAAUUUGAGAAAAUAACCAAAACCAACAAAUUAGGUAAUCAAAAUGUGGUAUGUGAGUGAAAUUAGAAUUUCCAUACAUAUUAAGCAUUAGAAAGUCAACAUAUUGACUUGAAUAGUAUCAUGAAU
rnacentral:misc_RNA from 1 species